rnacentral:rRNA from 1 species
UACGUAGGGUGCAAGCGUUAUCCGGAAUUAUUGGGCGUAAAGAGCUCGUAGGCGGUUUGUCGCGUCUGCUGUGAAAACUGGGGGCUCAACCCCCAGCCUGCAGUGGGUACGGGCAGACUAGAGUGCGGUAGGGGAGAUUGGAAUUCCUGGUGUAGCGGUGGAAUGCGCAGAUAUCAGGAGGAACACCGAUGGCGAAGGCGGGUCUCUGGGCCGAUACUGACGCUGAGGAGCGAAAGCGUGGGGAGCGAACAGG